rnacentral:rRNA from 1 species
UACGGAGGGGGCUAGCGUUGUUCGGAAUUACUGGGCGUAAAGCGCACGUAGGCGGCUUUGUAAGUUAGAGGUGAAAGCCCGGGGCUCAACUCCGGAAUUGCCUUUAAGACUGCAUCGCUAGAAUUGUGGAGAGGUAAGUGGAAUUCCGAGUGUAGAGGUGAAAUUCGUAGAUAUUCGGAAGAACACCAGUGGCGAAGGCGACUUACUGGACACAUAUUGACGCUGAGGUGCGAAAGCGUGGGGAGCAAACAGGAUUAGAUACCCUGA